rnacentral:rRNA from 1 species
GAUGAACGCUGGCGGCGUGCCCAAUACAUGCAAGUCGAGCGAACAGACGAGGAGCUUGCUCCUCUGACGUUAGCGGCGGACGGGUGAGUAACACGUGGAUAACCUACCUAUAAGACUGGGAUAACUUCGGGAAACCGGAGCUAAUACCGGAUAAUAUAUUGAACCGCAUGGUUCAAUAGUGAAAGACGGUUUUGCUGUCACUUAUAGAUGGAUCCGCGCCGCAUUAGCUAGUUGGUAAGGUAACGGCUUACCAAGGCGACGAUGCGUAGCCGACCUGAGAGGGUGAUCGGCCACACGGGAACUGAGACCCGGGCCAGACCCCUAGGGGAGGCAGCAGAGGGGAAUCUCCCGAAAGGGGCGAAAGCGUGACGGAGCAACCCCGGGUGAGUGAUGAAGGGUUUCGGAUCGUAAAACUUUGUUAUUAGGGAAAAAAAAAUGUGUAAGUAACUAUGCACGUCUUGACGGUACCAAAGCAGAAAGCCACGGCAAACUACGG